rnacentral:rRNA from 1 species
GUUUGAUCAUGGCUCAGGACGAACGCUGGCGGCGUGCCUAAUGCAUGCAAGUCGCACGCAGAGUGCUUGCACUCUGAGUGGCGCACGGCUGAGGACCACGUGGGAACAUGCCUCCUUGUGGGGGACAACACCGCGAAAGCGGUGCUAAUCCCGCAUACGCUCGGGCAACCGAGGAAAGCGGUAACGCGCAGGGAGAGUGGCCCGCGGCCCAUCAGGUCGUUGGUGGGGUAAUGGCCUACCAAGCCGGUGACGGGUAGCUGGUCUGUGAGGACAGACAGCCAGACUGGGACUGAGACACGGCCCAGACUCCUACGGGAGGCAGCAGCAAGGAAUUUUCGUCAAUGGGCGCAAGCCUGAACGAGCAACGCCGCGUGGAGGAUGACGGCCUUCGGGUUGUAAACUCCUUUUGCGGGGGACGAUGAUGACGGUACCCCGCGAAUAAGGCUCGGCUAACUCUGUGCCAGCAGCCGCGGUAAUACAGAGGAGCCAAGCGUUGUCCGGAUUGACUGGGCGUAAAGCGCACGCAGGCGGACGCGCGCGUGGGGUGUGAAAUCUGGCCGCUUAACGGCCAGGCGCCAUCCCAUACGGCGCGUCUGGAGCCAUGCAGAGGGCGGUGGAAUUGCCGGUGUAGUGGUGAAAUGCGUAGAGAUCGGCAGGAACACCCAGGGGGAAACCAGCCGCCUGG